rnacentral:rRNA from 1 species
AACAAACGCUGGCGGCGUGCCUAAUACAUGCAAGUCGAACGGGGAAAGCUUUCUGGUGAGUACUAGUGGCGCACGGGUGAGGAACGCGUGGAUAAUCUGCCUUACCGUGGGGUAUAACUAGUCUUAAGAUUAGCUAAUAUCGCAUAAGACCACGACAGCUGCGGCUUUUGAGGUCAAAGGUUUUUCGCUCUAUGAUGAGUCCGCGUAAGAUUAGCUAGCUGGUGAGGUAACGGCUCACUAAGGCGACGAUCUUUAACUGGUCUGAGAGGAUGAUCAGUCACACGGAAACAGAGACACGGUACAGACUCCUGGGGGAGGGAGGAGUAGAGAAUAUUGCAAAAGGGAGAAAACUCUGAUACAGCGACGCCGCGUGGGUGAAGAGGGCCUGGGGGUCAAAAAGCUCUGGCGCAGGGGAAAAACAGAAUGAAGGUAACGUGUAAGAAAGGAUCGGCUAACUUCGUG